UACAUUUGUACGCGCAAUGGUUCAACUGCAUUUUUCGGUGUAGUUGAUUAAAAGGGAAUUAGGUGCAAAUCCUGAACAAGCCCGUUACUGUAAGUUUCAUGCAACAUUUUGACAGAUUGCUGUUGAUUUUUCAAAUCUCCAAAAUCUAAUCUUUUGCCACUGCAUUUUUAGAAAUGUGGGAAGGUUGCUCAAAAUGGAAACAAGUCAGGAGACCUGCCACUGCUUAAUAGUUUAA
rnacentral:ncRNA from 2 species